GACGAACGCUGGCGGCGUGCUUAACACAUGCAAGUCGAACGGAAAGGCCCUGCUUUUGUGGGGUGCUCGAGUGGCGAACGGGUGAGUAACACGUGAGUAACCUGCCCUUGCCUUUGGGAUAACUUCAGGAAACUGGGGCUAAUACCGGAUAGGAGCUCCUGCUGCAUGGUGGGGGUUGGAAAGAUUCGGCGGUUGGGGAUGGACUGGGGGCUUAUCAGCUUGUUGGUGGGGUAGUGGCUUACCAAGGCUGUGACGGGUAGCCGGCCUGAGAGGGUGACCGGCGACAUUGGGCCUGAGAUACGGCCCAGACGCGUACGGGAGGCAGCAGUGGGGAAUAUUGCACAAUGGGCGGAAGCCUGAUGCAGCAGCGCCGCGUGCGGGAUGACGGCCUUCGGGUUGUAAACCGCUUUCGCCUGUGACGAAGCGUGAGUGACGGUAAUGGGUAAAGAAGCACCGGCUAACUACGUG
rnacentral:rRNA from 1 species